rnacentral:rRNA from 1 species
UACGAAGGGGGCUAGCGUUGCUCGGAAUCACUGGGCGUAAAGCGCAGUCGUAGGCGGCUUUCUAAGUCAGGAGUGAAAUCCCGGAGCUCAACUCCGGAACUGCCUUUGAUACUGGAAAGCUUGAGUUCGGGGAGAGGUGAGUGGAACUGCGAGUGUAGAGGUGAAAUUCGUAGAUAAUUCGGAAGAACACCAGUGGCGAAGGCGCUCACUGGGACUGGUAUUGACGCUGAGGUGCGAAAGGCGUGGGGGAGCAAACAGG